UGGACCACCAAUGAGAGAGCAAGGCUCAGGGCCUCCCAGGCGGCUGCUCUUCCGGCUCCGGUCCUGGAGGGCCUGUGUUGCUGGCACUACCCUGGGCUAGGUGGUAGGAUCUGAUGGCGUCCGCACAGCCCCCAUUUGGAGGAGAACAACUUCCCAUGGACAGAGGAGCCUGGCAGGCUACGGUCCACAGGAUCGGAAAGAGCUGGAGAGGACUUGGUGGCGCUAGUGGUAAAGAACUUGCCUGCCGAUACAGAUGAGAGUUUGAUUCCUGGGUCAGGAAGAUCCCCUGGAAAGAGGGCACGGAAACCCACUCCAGUAUUCUUGCUUGGAAAAUCUCAUGGACAGAGGAGCCUGGUGGGCUACAGUCCAUGGGCUUGCAAAGAGCCGGACAUGACUGAAGCGACUGAGCACAGCACAGCACAUAGCUUUAUAAUGUUGUGUUAGUUUCAGGUAUAUAG
ensembl:lncRNA